rnacentral:rRNA from 1 species
UACAGAGGUCCCAAGCGUUGUUCGGAUUUACUGGGCGUAAAGGGUGCGUAGGUGGUCGGUUAAGUCUGGCGUGAAAUCUUCGAGCCUAACUCGAAAACUGCGCUGGAAACUGCCCGGCUAGAGGAGUGGAGGGGAGACUGGAAUACUUGGUGUAGCAGUGAAAUGCGUAGAUAUCAAGUGGAACACCAGUGGCGAAGGCGAGUCUCUGGACAUUUCCUGACACUGAAGCACGAAAGCCAGGGGAGCAAACGGG